rnacentral:rRNA from 1 species
GGGUUGUGAGGUUAAGCGAAUAAGCGUACACGGUGGAUGCCUAGGCAGUCAGAGGCGAUGAAGGACGUGCUAAUCUGCGAAAAGCGUCGGUAAGCUGAUAUGAAGCGAUAUAGCCGGCGAUGUCCGAAUGGGGAAACCCAGUGCGAUGCGUCGCACUAUCAUUAACUGAAUCCAUAGGUUAAUGAGGCGAACCGGGGGAACUGAAACAUCUCAGUACCCCGAGGAAAAGAAAUCAACCGAGAUUCCCCCAGUAGCGGCGAGCGAACGGGGAGCAGCCCAGAACCAGCAUCAGCCAUAGCAUCAGAGGAACGGUCUGGAAAGGCCGGCGAGAGAGGGUGACAGCCCCGUACUCGAAGGUGGCAUGGCUGUGAGUUCGACGAG